CCGUGAGUGACUCAGAAGCCAAGUAUGUUGGUCCUCUUGUAAUGUGAGCGGCCAGUUCUGCGGAGCGAGCCGGAGCGGUUAGCAUCUCAUGAAUGUGCGUGGGAGGCUGACGGCACUGGACGGGGAGUUAAUCAUUAGGCUGUUUGUGCCACUGCAAUGGGCCGGGCCAGCCAGGGUUCUCGGGCUGACCCCCUCCUCACCCGCCCCCGCUGCUAUGCGGCCCACAUGGGAAGACCACAGGAAGCUCAGACCGCGGCCCCCGAACAACAAGGCAUUUUGCUUUGGAAGCUGCCAGGACGGGAAAUUAGUUGGGCUGAUCAGGAAGAUCAGUUUGGCGUGAUUUGAACUUGGGAAUGGUUCCCCACGUGCCCGUGUCCAGGAAGCGGAGGAUCUGUGGCCUGGCAGGUCCUGGAACCUUCAUGCCAGUGCGCCCGGUGGCAGGACUCCAGCAGCUCCACGUAGAGCCAUGGGCUUUCUCGUACCUGUCCGUCCAGUGAACGCGUGACCCUCCGGCUUAGGGACAAUUCCUUCCAGGCUCUCGGGGAACAAGUGCGGCAGCAGAACUCCCUGGAAGCCAUGUGUUGACAAGGCUGGGUUCCACACCUGGAACGUGUGUGGCCAGCCCCUCCCCCUGUGGACUCAUGGUAUAAGCGAGGUGUGGCCUCGGUUUGUGACGCCUCGAUAUUCCUGGGUUCCCUUCUUUUCUGGGCUUGACCACCUGCGCUGUAGGAUCCCCCGGGGUUUAGAAAGAGCCCCGUGGUCUUGAGAAGGCUCCUUGUGUGUGGCUGGAGAACAUGAACACGACAGAACACAGCCCCCGAUUGGCCCGCCAGAGCCAGCUCAUAGCGGCCUAGACAGAGGCUCUCGUCUCCGGGCUUCCAGAGCCCUUCAUCAGAACAUGCGCUGUGUUUCCCUGUAACUGCUUCUCCGAGAGACUGACCCGACCUGCAACUGAAGGUGAGUGCGGCUUCCGUGUGCUGACCACGGCGCUAAGAAGAGCUUUACAUGUUCUAACUCACUGGGUCUCCACAGCUGCCCUGUGAGACAAGCACUACUGUGAGUUUUCUUUAAAAACAUAAUGGAGAAACCGAGGCAUAGAGAGGUUAGGGGACUUGCCCAAACUCGCACAGCCUGCAAGUGUUGGAGGCAGGUUGACCUGUAGCCCUUGUGUGUGGCCUCUGUCUCCGACGGCAUUCUUCUUCAUGGCCGUCUUUGUCCGCAGAACACUGGUCAUUAAAGUUCUGUCGGACGCACAUGUGGGGCAGUUUUCUGUUUUUUUUCAAACUUCUCCUCUGCCUGCCUCCAUACGUCCUUCCGAAGGCUCCCCAGGUUUCACUUCUUGCUCCAUUUCUGAACUUGAGAGACAGUCGCUCCAGGGCUGUCCUCGCUGCCUGGAACGUUCUGGAUGACUUCUUUGGGAACCGACUGCAUAGAGAGCUUACCAGUCACCCGGAAGAGCCAUUGCCAUGACUUUAUCAACCCCACCUGCCCCAUACGAGCAACAUCCCAGGGAUUCUCCUGAACAGAAGUGACUGAUGAAACCUGCUUCCCUCAACAUAUUAAUUUCACAAGCUGAGCAUUUCUCCUGGGAUCUGAAAGAGCCACAAGAGCGACGUCUCAGCUAGAAACAUCCUCAGUGAAAUGUUGUUUGGUCUUUUCCCGUCUACUGAGUCCUGAGGUGGGGGAUCUCCUGGUCGUGCACUGGAGGGAGGAAGGAAGAUGUCUGGGGCCUUCUAAGCAGAACAAGGGCACUUUCUCUUCGGAGUAACACUAUAGACAUGCUCUGUUAGAGAUCAAAGCCAAAGCAAACCAACCAGUGAAUGAAAAACAGCAGGGACAGCCCAAGCCUUCUUGUGGGCCUGAGGCAGACUCAGUCACGGCUGGCUUUGGCCAGCUUGGAGCCUGUCCCUAACUUCCUAGGUCCCUGGAGUCGGCUGGCGUGGGUGGUGCUUCCAGAACAAGCCUGAAGCUUGCAGCCUACUCUUUACUGAGCGCGGCUGUGGCAGAGUCCUGUGGUGUGUGCUAGACCCGGGCCUGCCUCCUCAGGUGGUGGCCGUGUGGGACCAGCUGGCCUCGUCUGCUGGGGCUGAAGGGAAGAGAAGCAGGAACUGGGGCUCUCUGAGCGGGACCCGGUUCUCCUACCUUGAAUGGGACCUUCAUUCCUCUCUUCACUUGAAGAAGCUGGUCUUCAAACAUAGCCUAUUUAUGCAAGUGACCCAACUUUCCAGAUUUUGUUUCCUUCCCCAUGACUUUGCAACCCAGAGAUGCAGGAGAGUCAUCGUGAGGGACACGUGAGAGCCUUGAACGAGCACAGCCAGUGCCCGGGACACGGGAGUAAUCUGCUCAUUGAUUUUGUGCGUGCCUCUGUUGAGUUGGGGGGAGGUUGGGUGAGUCCGGACAUCAGGGUGCAGUUUCUGGUGCGAAAUGCUGUGUGUAGCUACCCUCGAGCUCAGCACGGUCACCGUCAUGGCACACAUGGGCACGGCACCGGGGGGGAGGACACAGUCCAUCAUGCACGUUCUCCCUCCUCUACGUUUACUUGCGGGAUCCUGGAGACACAGAGGUGAAGUCCAGCCCCGUCCAAGGUCACGCAGGUGGCAAGAGGACACGGGAAGAGCCUGGCCUGCCCCCCUUGUACAGCUCUGAGUGUCUGCAGCCCGGGGCCCAAGCUCCUUCCCUGCUCUUGGCGCUCACGAUGGUCUUGCAGAAACCCUGUCUGCCGCCCUGCACCUGCUCCUCAGACACCAGAGCCCUGCCGCGGCCAGAGCGGAAGCCCACAGGGCCUCAGUUUACCUGAGUGUGGCAGCAUGUGGUCCUCAUGGACCUGCUGCGCAGGGGUCUCAAGCUAUGGCAAAAACGUGGCUUUAUUGACAUUCUUCUUCUUCACCACGUGAGUGAGACCCUGUUUGCACCAUCUGCCUGAAAGAAACUGGUUAAAAUGGAGCCUCAUUGUUACCUGACGUUCUGGCAUAUUUUCAAAAUGAGGAAAGGUCCAGUAUCCUUCUCCUACUGUAGUGAUCCCAAGGGGAACACUCUGGUUUAUGCGGAGUUGACCAAGGCACCGGGUCCGAGGGGUCUGCCAGCCUUUGGUGCAGGCACGUGGUCUGAGGGCCUCCAACAGGCCCUCGUCGGGGAGGGCUGGUAGCUUUCUCCGCAGACUUCUCUCU